rnacentral:rRNA from 1 species
CCUACGGGAGGCAGCAGUGGGGAAUAUUGGUCAAUGGGCGCGAGCCUGAACCAGCCAAGUAGCGUGAAGGAUGACUGCCCUACGGGUGGAAAACUUCUUUUAUAAGGGAGUAAAGUGUGUCACGUGUGACUUUUUGUAUGUACGUUACGAAUAAGGAUCGGCGAACUCCGUUCCAGCAGCCGCGGUAAGACGGAGGAUCCGAGGGUUAUCCGGAUUUAUUGGGUUUAAAGGGAGCGUAGAUGGGUUGUUAAGUCAGUUGUGAAAGUUCGGGGCUCAACCGUAAAAUUGCAAUUGAUACUGGCAGGCUUGAGUACAGUUGAGGUAGGCGGAAUUCGUGGUGUAGCGGUGAAAUGCUUAGAUAUCACGAAGAAUUCCGAUUGCGAAGGCAGCUCACUAAACUGCCACUGACAUUGAUGCUCGAAAGUGUGGGUAUCAAACAGGAUUAGAUACCCCUGUAGUC